UACGUAGGGGGCAAGCGUUGUCCGGAAUCAUUGGGCGUAAAGCGCGUGUAGGCGGCUUGGUAAGUCCGUUCUGAAAGCCCGGGGCUCAACCCCGGGAGGCGGAUGGAUACUGUCAAGCUUGAGUCCGGAAGAGGCGAGUGGAAUUCCCGGUGUAGCGGUGAAAUGCGCAGAUAUCGGGAGGAACACCAAUGGCGAAGGCAGCACUCUGGGACGUGACUGACGCUGAGACGCGAAAGCGUGGGGAGCAAACAGG
rnacentral:rRNA from 1 species